rnacentral:rRNA from 1 species
GAAUCUUGGACAAUGGGCGCAAGCCUGAUCCAGCCAUGCCGCGUGUGUGAAGAAGGUCUUCGGAUUGUAAAGCACUUUAAGUUGGGAGGAAGGGUUGUAACCUAAUACGUUGCAACUUUGACGUUACCGACAGAAUAAGCACCGGCUAACUUCGUGCCAGCAGCCGCGGUAAUACGAAGGGUGCAAGCGUUAAGCGGAAUUACUGGGCGUAAAGCGCGCGUAGGUGGUUUGAUAAGUUGGAUGUGAAAGCCCCGGGCUCAACCUGGGAAUUGCAUCCAAAACUGUCUGACUAGAGUACGGUAGAGGGUGUUGGAAUUUCCUGUGUAGCGGUGAAAUGCGUAGAUAUAGGAAGGAACACCAGUGGCGAGGGCGACCACCUGGACUGAUACUGACACUGAGGUGCGAAAGCGUGGGGAGCAAACAGG